rnacentral:rRNA from 1 species
CCUACGGGAGGCAGCAGUGGGGAAUCUUGCACAAUGGGGGAAACCCUGAUGCAGCGAUGCCGCGUGAGUGAAGAAGGCCUUUGGGUUGUAAAGCUCUUUCGUCGGGGAAGAAAAUGACUGUACCCGAAUAAGAAGGUCCGGCUAACUUCGUGCCAGCAGCCGCGGUAAUA